rnacentral:lncRNA from 1 species
CCCCACUAGGGAGAUGGGACAGGGGACAGGCAGCACCCGCUACCUAGCAAGCCUUCGCUUCACUCUGAUCUGAGUGGAUGUUUCACGUCACAGAGAAAAAGCAGUUCUGGGAUCGGUAACAGCUGGAAGCAGGAGAUAACGGUUCCCACAUCGGGCCGGGUCUCCUCCACAGCACGCACACACACGCACGCACACUCGGGAGCAAGGGGCCAGGGGCCCAAAGGAGUGCGCCCCGAACUGUGCUGGGAGUGAGGGCCGACAGCAGAACAACCACACGCACAAGGCAUGGAAGCCUAGGAAGGCGGGGACCAUUCCAGCUACUGCAGUAUGGCUGGGACGAGGGCUGGGCGGCCAGGAGCUGGGUCUGCUGAGGUGAGCAAGGCCUGUCGCCGAAGGCCGGAGGAAUUUGGGCUGCAUCCAGGUGCUGAGUGAUGCAGAAAUCCCAGAAACUACUAUUGCAUGCAAC